UCCUCGAUAGUGUAGUGGUCAGUAUCCCCGCCUGUCACGCGGGAGACCGGGGUUCAAUUCCCCGUCGGGGAG
rfam:Aedes aegypti strain Liverpool supercont1.262 genomic scaffold, whole genome shotgun sequence.